rnacentral:rRNA from 1 species
UACGAAGGGGGCUAGCGUUGCUCGGAAUCACUGGGCGUAAAGGGUGCGUAGGCGGUCGGGUAAGUCUGAUGUGAAAUCUCACAGCUUAACUGUGAAACUGCAUUGGAUACUAUCCGGCUCGAGGAAUGGAGGGGAGACUGGAAUACUUGGUGUAGCAGUGAAAUGCGUAGAUAUCAAGUGGAACACCAGUGGCGAAGGCGAGUCUCUGGACAUUUCCUGACGCUGAGGCACGAAAGCCAGGGGAGCAAACGGGA